rnacentral:rRNA from 1 species
GACGAACGCUGGCGGCGUGCUUAACACAUGCAAGUCGAACGGAAAGGCCCUGCUUUUGUUGGGUGCUCGAGUGGCGAACGGGUGAGUAACACGUGAGUAACCUGCCCUUGACUUUGUGAUAACUUCAGGAAACUGGGGCUAAUACCGGAUAGGAGCUCCUGCUGCAUGGUGUUGGUUGGAAAGUUUCGGCUGUUGUGGAUGGACUCGCGGCUUAUCAGCUUGUUGGUGGGGUAGUGGCUUACCAAGGCUUUGACGGGUAGCCGGCCUGAGAGGGUGACCGGCGACAUUGGGACUGAGAUACGGAGCAGACGGCUACGGGAGGCAGUAGUGGGGAAUAUUGCACAAUGGGCGGACGCCUGAUGCAGAAACGCCGCGUGCGGGAUGACGGCCUUCGGGUUGUAAACCGCUUUCGCCUGUGACGAAGCGUGAGUGACGGUAAUGGGUAAAGAAGCACCGGCUAACUACGUG